rnacentral:rRNA from 1 species
CCAAUAGCGUAUAUUCAAGUUGUUGCAGUUAAAAAGCUCGUAGUUGAAUUUCGGGAUCAAUAUUUCGGUCAUGACGUUGGUAUGCACUGUUAUCAUUGAUUUCUCACCUUCUAAAGAACCGUAAUGACAUUAAUUUGGUGUUUCGGGGAAUUAGGACUGUUACCUUGAAAAAAUUAGAGUGUUUAAAGCAGGCUCACGCUUGAAUACAUUAGCAUGGAAUAAUGAAAUCGGACAUCCGAUUCUAUUUUGUUGGUUUCUAGGAUCGAUGUAAUGAUUAAUAGGGAUAGUUGGGGGCAUUAGUAUUCAAUUGUCAGAGGUGAAAUUCUUGGAUUUAUUGAAGACUAACUACUGCGAAAGCAUUUGCCAAGGAUGUUUUCAUUAAUCAAGAACGAAAGUUAGGGGAUCGAAGACGAUCAGAUACCGUCGUAGUCUUAACCAUAAACUAUGCCGACUAGGGAUCGGAUGAUGUUAAUUUUUUAAUGACUCAUUCGGCGCCUUACG